rnacentral:rRNA from 1 species
UACGUAGGGUGCGAGCGUUGUCCGGAAUUACUGGGCGUAAAGAGCUCGUAGGUGGUUUGUCGCGUUGUUCGUGAAAACUCACAGCUUAACUGUGGGCGUGCGGGCGAUACGGGCAGACUGGAGUACUGCAGGGGAGACUGGGAAUUCCUGGUGUAGCGGUGGAAUGCGCAGAUAUCAGGAGGAACACCGGUGGCGAAGGCGGUUCUCUGGGCAUGUCCUGACGCUGAGGAGCGAAAGUGUGGGGAGCGAACAGG